rnacentral:rRNA from 1 species
AGGACGAACGCUGGCGGCGUGCCUAACACAUGCAAGUCGAACGGGACCAGGGGCAACUCUGGUUCAGUGGCGGACGGGUGCGUAACACGUGAGGAACAUGACCUUCGGCGGGGGAUAGCCGGCCCAACGGCCGGGUAAUACCGCGUACGACCACAUGGGGACAUCCCUGAGUGGUGAAAGCAGCAAUGCGCCGAUGGAGUGCCUCGCGGCCUAUCAGCUAGUUGGUGAGGUAACGGCUCACCAAGGCGACGACGGGU